CAAUACUAAAUUGUUAUGCUUCAAUCGACGUGCGGACCCUUGAGAAGCUCCUGCAGCGAUUGCUGUCACGCUCCGUCCCUUCCGACCAGGCUGCAUGGGUGGCUUAAGGAGACCGCAUCGAAAACUUCUGAGUCAUGCAUAAGGAUGCGGUUUAGGCCCGCCAUCUGCUAAAUUUCCAUUUCAAAUCCUUCUCCCAUGGUCGAUAAAUUUUGAGAUUCAUUCGAAGGGUAAAAAAUUCACGGAUGAUCGUGCUUGAUCCCUGUAUUUGUGUUUGUAGAUUAGAUCUGGAUGCCGUGAAGUCUGUCUGGUAUUGUGGAUGCGGCUUGGUGGCGGGCCCAAUCGGUCCAAUCGACGAGCCCACAUCGACCUUUAC
rnacentral:lncRNA from 1 species